CCUACGGGAGGCAGCAGUGAGGAAUAUUGGUCAAUGGGCGGAAGCCUGAACCAGCCAAGUAGCGUGCAGGAUGACGGCCCUACGGGUUAUAAACUGCUUUUAUACGGGAAUAACGCGCCUUACGUGUAGGGCUUUGCAUGUACUUUAUGAAUAAGGAUCGGCUAAUUCCGUGCCAGCAGCCGCGGUAAUACGGAGGGUCCGGGCGUUAUCCGGAUUUAUUGGGUUUAAGGGGAGGGUAGUCCGCAUGUCAAGCGGGUGUGGAAAUGUUCGGGCUCAACCCGGGCCUUGCAGCGCUAACUGGCGUGCUUAGGACCGCUGAAAGCGGCGGAAUUCGUCGUGUAGCGGUGAAAUGCUUAGAUAUGACGAAGAACCCCGAUUGCGAAGGCAGCUUGCUAAAGCGGAACUGACGCUGAUGCUCGAAAGCGCGGGUAUCGAACAGGAUUAGAUACCCGAGUAGUC
rnacentral:rRNA from 1 species